rnacentral:lncRNA from 1 species
UGGAAGUACAAAGGGUAGAUAUGGAACCAAACAGAGACAACAACAGGCCACAACUAGAUUGGGAAUGGAGAGAAACAAAUUAACAAAGACUGGAGAUUACAACAGAACAGAUGCCAAGAGAAAAGGGUUUCUUCAUCCAGUGAAAUUCAAGUGAGUUGACAGCAAAAGGGAGCAUAUGUGUUUCUUGAUUGAGAACGAGUGCAAAGGAUGACUUUUUAAUGAGGUUCUGAAGCUGACGAAUAACGAUUUGCUAAAAUUUUGAGAAAGUUAUAUAUUCCGUAACUUC